GCGAUACCGCGAAUGGCUCAAUAUAUCAGUUUUGGUUCCUUAGAUCUUACUCAGUUACUUGGAUAACUGUGGCAAUUCUAGAGCUAAUACAUGCAAUCAGAGCUCUGACCAGAGAUGGAAAGAGUGCUUUUAUUAGAUCAAAACCAAUCGACCGCCGGUUCGCCGAGGUCGUUUAAUUUGAUGAAUCUGGAUAACUUUUGCAGAUCGCACGGUCUCGCACCGGCGACGCAUCUUUCAAAUGUCUGCCUUAUCAACUAUCGAUGGUAGUUUCUGCGACUACCAUGGUUGUCACGGGUAACGGGGAAUCAGGGUUCGAUUCCGGAGAGGGAGCCUGAGAAACGGCUACCACAUCCAAGGAAGGCAGCAGGCGCGCAAAUUACCCACUCCCGGCACGGGGAGGUAGUGACGAAAAAUAACGAUACGGGACUCUUCUGAGGCCUCGUAAUCGGAAUGAGUACACUUUAAAUAUUUUAACGAGGAACAAUUGGAGGGCAAGUCUGGUGCCAGCAGCCGCGGUAAUUCCAGCUCCAAUAGCGUAUACUAAAAUUGUUGCGGUUAAAAAGCUCGUAGUUGCAUUUGUGCGCCGCGCUGUCGGURSUCGCGARGCGWAACUGGCARGUUUGCGGGGCAUAUCGUCGGUGASUCCGRUAAAACGACGGUUCAAUAUGAAAAUCCUACGCGGUGCUCUUWACCGAGUGUCUCAAAGCUGGGCUUUAUGCUGCUUGAAUAUWCUGUGCAUGGAAUAAUAGAAUAUGAUCUCGGUUCUAUUUUGUUGGUUUUCGGAACCCCGAGAUAAUGAUUAAUAGGGACAACUGGGGGCAUUCGUAUUGCGACGUUAGAGGUGAAAUUCUUGGAUCGUCGCAAGACGGACAUCAGCGAAAGCAUUUGCCAAAGGUGUUUUCAUCAAUCAAGAACGAAAGUUAGAGGUUCGAAGGCGAUUAGAUACCGCCCUAGUUCUAACCAUAAAUGAUGCCAGCCAGCGAUCCGCCGACGUUAAUUCAAUGGCUCGGCGUUCAGCUU
rnacentral:rRNA from 1 species